rnacentral:rRNA from 1 species
UACGAAGGGGACUAGCGUUGUUCGGAUUUACUGGGCGUAAAGCGCGCGUAGGCGGAUCGCUAAGUCAGGGGUGAAAUGCCAAGGCUCAACCUUGGAACUGCCUUUGAUACUGACGAUCUGGAGAUUGGGAGAGGUGAGUGGAAUUCCGAGUGUAGAGGUGAAAUUCGUAGAUAUUCGGAGGAACACCAGAAGCGAAGGCGGCUCACUGGCCCAAUACUGACGCUGAGGUGCGAAAGCGUGGGGAGCAAACAGG